rnacentral:rRNA from 1 species
GGCGGACGGGUGAGUAACGCGUAAGGAACUUGCCUCUUGGUCUGGGACAACUGUUGGAAACGACAGCUAAUACCGGAUAUUAUGAGAUUCUCGCAUGGGAAACUUAUGAAAGCUAUAUGCGCCAAGAGAGAGCCUUGCGUUCAAUUAGCUAGUUGGUGGGGUAACGGCCCACCAAGGCGACGAUGGAUAGCCGGCCUGAGAGGGUGAACGGCCACAAGGGGACUGAGACACGGCCCUCACUCCUACGGGAGGCAGCAGUGGGGAAUAUUGGACAAUGGGCCACAAGCCUGAUCCAGCAAUUCUGUGUGCACGAUGAAGGUCUUCGGAUUGUAAAGUGCUUUCAGUUGGGAAGAAGAAAGUGACGGUACCAACAGAAGAAGCGACGGCUAAAUACGUGCCAGCAGCCGCGGUAAUACGCAUGUCGCAAGCGUUAUCCGGAUUUAUUGGGCGUAAAGCGCGUCUAGGCGGAAAAAUAAGUCUGAUGUUAAAAUGCGGGGCUCAACUCUGUAUUGCGUUGGAAACUGUUUUUCUAGAGUACUGGAGAGGUGGGCGGAACUACAAGUGUAGAGGUGAAAUUCGUAGAUAUUUGUAGGAAUGCCGAUGGAGAAGUCAGCUCACUGGACAGAUACUGACGCUAAAGCGCGAAAGCGUGGGGAGCAAACAGGAUUAGAUACCCUGGUAGUCCACGCCGUAAACGAUGAUCACU